AAAGUACUUUUCUGGAUACCAAAUACGCUGAGUUGGGACACGAGCUGAGGACAGAGCUGAGGGAACCACAGGCGACCAACCUCAUCCCCAUCUUUAAAUCCCAGUGAACGAUUCUGCUGUGUGAACGCCUGCCUGUCUGACUCACCACACUGGCGGUCGAGAGGAUCAAGGGAAGUGAUGACAGUGGACGUGCUUAGGAGACCGUCAGGCUCCCAGGCAGGAUUGGGAGGACGGUCCCCUGCCGUUGUGAGAGCCCUUCUUCUUUGGGUCUCCCUGUGUCGACUUCAAGAUAAACACACAGUAUUAAGUGUUGUGAGUUUGGGCUUCCCUGGUGGUGCAGUGGUUAAGAAUCCGCCUGCCAAUGCA